GGAUAACUUACCCUUAGGACUGGGAUAACUCUGGGAAACUGGGGAUAAUACUGGAUAUUAGGCUAUGCCUGGAAUGGUUUGCCUUUGAAAUGUUUUUUCGCCUAAGGAUAGGUCUGCGGCUGAUUAGGUCGUUGGUGGGGUAAUGGCCCACCAAGCCGAUGAUCGGUACGGGUUGUGAGAGCAAGGGCCCGGAGAUGGAACCUGAGACAAGGUUCCAGACCCUACGGGGUGCAGCAGGCGCGAAACCUCCGCAAUGUACGAAAGUGCGACGGGGGGAUCCCAAGUGUUAUGCUUUUUUGUAUGACUUUUCAUUAGUGUAAAAAGCUUUUAGAAUAAGAGCUGGGCAAGACCGGUGCCAGCCGCCGCGGUAACACCGGCAGCUCGAGUGGUAGCUGUUUUUAUUGGGCCUAAAGCGUUCGUAGCCGGUUUGAUAAGUCUUUGGUGAAAGCUUGUAGCUUAACUAUAAGAAUUGCUGGAGAUACUAUUAGACUUGAAGUCGGGAGAGGUUAGAGGUACUACCGGGGUAGGGGUGAGAUCCUAUAAUCCUGGGAGGACCACCUGUGGCGAAGGCGUCUAACUGGAACGAUCUUGACGGUGAGUAACGAAAGCCAGGGGCGCGAACCGGAUUAGAUACCCGGGUAGUCCUGGCCGUAAACGAUGUGGACUUGGUGUUGGAAUGGCUUUGAGUUGUUCCGGUGCCGAAAGGGAAGCUGUUAAGUCCACCGCCUGGGAAGUACGGUCGCAAGACUGAAACUUA
rnacentral:rRNA from 1 species